UGAAGAAGAUUUCAUGACGAAAGACUCGAGCAUAAUUGCAUUGCAAGACAACAGUUUCGCCCGUUGUAAUCUUAGCAGUUGUGUCAGAGCUUGUGGCAACUGCUGUAAGGCCAGCGGGACAGUAAUGUUCACAAUAUAGACUGUCAACGUCAAUUUAGUUUAAUGACGGAGAUUUAAUUUGGAACGCACAGUUUUAUCUUAUUUUUUAUUUUUAUUUAUUAUUUUUGAAACGUAAUGUCUUACUGAUAAAGAAUGAAAUCUUCCUAGAUGACUAGUCGUACAUAUUGAAGACCUCUUUAGUAACCUGAAUCAU